UACGGGGGGGGCAAGCGUUGUUCGGAAUUACUGGGCGUAAAGCGUGCGCAGGCGGUUUUGUAAGUCUGUCGUGAAAUCCCCGGGCUCAACCUGGGAAUGGCGAUGGAGACUGCAAGGCUAGAGUUUGGCAGAGGGGGGUAGAAUUCCACGUGUAGCAGUGAAAUGCGUAGAGAUGUGGAGGAACACCGAUGGCGAAGGCAGCCCCCUGGGUCAAAACUGACGCUCAUGCACGAAAGCGUGGGGAGCAAACAGG
rnacentral:rRNA from 1 species